rnacentral:rRNA from 1 species
AGAGAUGUGUGAUGACGCAUAUCAAUAAGCGGAGGAAAAGAAACUAACAAGGAUUCCCUUAGCAACGGCGAGUGAAGCGGGAAGAGCUCAAAUUUGAAAUCUUCAAGGUUCUACCUUGACGAAUUGUAGUUUAUAGAAGUGUUUUCUGUUAGUAGAGUGGCAAAAGUUCUUUGGAAUAGGACAUCAUAGAGGGUGAGAAUCCCGUAUUUGGUCAUUCUUUCUAGCUUUGUGAUACACUUUCAAAGAGUCGGAUUGUUUGGGAAUGCAGUCCAAAAUGGGUGGUAAAUUUCAUCUAAAGCUGAAUAUUGGCGAGAGACCGAUAGCGAACAAGUACCGCUGAGGGAAAGAUGAAAAGAACUUUGAAAAGAGAGUUAAACAGUACGUGAAAUUGUCAAAAGGGAAGCGUUUGACACCAGUGUUGUUUUUCCGAAAAUCAAUUACGAAUGUUUUAUUUUUAGAGAGUUAUGACUUCAUCGGCUUGCUUCUUUCUUUACUGAAACUUUCUUAAUGCACUUUUCGGUUAACAAGUCAACAUCAAUUUCUUUUGUUGUAAAAGGGUAUGAGGAAGGUGGCUUGCUCUUCGGCGCAAGUGUUUAUAGCCUUGUACCCUCUGCAAUCGGAGAGAUUGAGGUCUGCAGCGUAGAUCCUUCGGGGUUAGAUACAUUUGUGCUAAGCUAGUAGCUUUUCAUAGACAACUUGUUGACUAUGCUACAGUCAUGUAGCUUACUCGCUUAUGCUAUUUUACCUACGCUUAGGAUGUUGACAGCAGUAUAGACUGU